AACGAACGCUGGCGGCAUGCCUAACACAUGCAAGUCGAACGAUGCUUUCGGGCAUAGUGGCGCACGGGUGCGUAACGCGUGGGAAUCUGCCCUUGGGUUCGGUAUAACAGCGGGAAACUGCUGCUAAUACCGGAUGAUAUCGCGAGAUCAAAGAUUUAUCGCCCUGGGAUGAGCCCGCGUCGGAUUAGGUAGUUGGUGGGGUAAGAGCCUACCAAGCCGACGAUCCGUAGCUGGUCUGAGAGGAUGAUCAGCCACACUGGGACUGAGACACGGCCCAGACUCCUACGGGAGGCAGCAGUGGGGAAUAUUGGACAAUGGGCGCAAGCCUGAUCCAGCAAUGCCGCGUGAGUGAUGAAGGCCUUAGGGUUGUAAAGCUCUUUUACCCGGGAUGAUAAUGACAGUACCGGGAGAAUAAGCCCCGGCUAACUCCGUG
rnacentral:rRNA from 1 species